UGCAAUUCAGGUGUCAUCAUAACUUCAUUCUGCAUUCUUGUUUCUUUUGCUGCUGCUGCAGAGUUGGACACUUUCCGUCCAUCUGUUCUCCUCGUCGGAUCAGGUGUGACAGGCUCAAAUUGGGAUGAGACAAGUGUAGUUGAUGCAUCAGCAAUUGUUCUUGGUGGAGAAUUCAGAUCAAAGCAGAGCCUGGAAGAAAUUACAUUUUCACCUGCAAAGGAAAAUUCAUUAACAGGAUUGAGAAACUGAGGUUGGCGGGAUGCAACAAGGGCUUUGCAAUGAUAAGCGUGCAUAAGAUAAACUCUAGCACAAAGCUAUGUAAGGGAUUGUUGGGACCAAUUUGCUUGCAAUGGUUGUCGUUCUUGCGUCUCUGUGUAGAUUGGCUGAGCUUCCAAACCAGGCUUCGCAGGGGUGGAAGGAAUCCAAGAAUUCUCAAUUUGAGGGCCUUUGACAAUCACAGUAGAGUUCUCUACCGUUGCUUCCAUUCUGCAAGAGCAAAGCCCGGUAAUUUCUUAAUUUGUCAACACUUUGUUGUCAGUAAAUUCUAUUUCACUCACUUUGUUUGCAGAAAAUGCUAAAUAAAUAACUUGCGCGUAGGUUUGCAGAAGUUAGGUGGUCUUUCACCACGCUUAAAAUGUCUUCCUGCUAAAAUAUUUCAAACCCCAUAGGAAAAAUGUAAAACAAAAGGUAAAAAAAGUUUCUGAGAAGCAGAAAUUAACAUGCAGACCAUGUUUUUACAGAUACUUCCAUAUCUUACACAACAGCAUCCUUUAAAUUGUGAAACUCUGG